rnacentral:rRNA from 1 species
CCUACGGGAGGCAGCAGUGGGGGAUAUUGCACAAUGGGGGAAACCCUGAUGCAGCGACGCCGCGUGGGUGAAGAAGUGCCUCGGCGUGUAAAGCUCUGUCAGCAGGGAAGAAAAUGACGGUACCUGAAGAAGAAGCCCCGGCUAACUACGUGCCAGCAGCCGCGGUAAUACGUAGGGGGCAAGCGUUAUCCGGAUUUACUGGGUGUAAAGGGGGCGUAGACGGCGCUGCAAGCCAGGAGUGAAAGCCCGGGGCGCAACCCCGGGACUGCUCUUGAAACUGCGAGGCUAGAGUGCAGGAGGGGCAAGCGGAAUUCCUGGGGUAGCGGUGAAAUGCGUAGAUAUCAGGAGGAACACCAGUGGCGAAGGCGGCCUGCUGGACUGCAACUGACGUUGAGGCCCGAAAGCGUGGGGAGCAAACAGGAUUAGAUACCCGAGUAGUC